rnacentral:rRNA from 1 species
UACGGGGGGGGCAAGCGUUGUUCGGAAUUACUGGGCGUAAAGGGCUCGUAGGCGGCCAACUAAGUCGGACGUGAAAUCCCCAGGCUCAACCUGGGAACUGCGUCUGAUACUGGAUGGCUUGAAUCCGGGAGAGGGAUGCGGAAUUCCAGGUGUAGCGGUGAAAUGCGUAGAUAUCUGGAGGAACACCGGUGGCGAAGGCGGCAUCCUGGACCAACACUGACGCUGAGUGAGCGAAAGCCAGGGGAGCAAACGGG